rnacentral:rRNA from 1 species
CAAUAGCGUAUAUUAAAGUUGUUGCAGUUAAAAAGCUCGUAGUUGGAUUUGUGGCGUACGGUGUGUUCCGGGCACUUGUUGUCUGAGUAACCUGCUGUUGCCAUCCUUGGGUGGAACCUGUGUGGCAUUAGGUUGUCGUGCAGGGGAUGCCCAUCAUUUACUGUGAAAAAACUAGAGUGUUCAAAGCAGGCUUAUGCCGUUGAAUAUAUUAGCAUGGAAUAAUGAGAUAGGACUUUUUUGCUAUUUUGUUGGUUUGCGCAAAGAGGUAAUGAUUAAUAGGGACAGUUGGGGGUAUUCGUAUUCCAUUGUCAGAGGUGAAAUUCUUGGAUUUUUGGAAGACGAACUACUGCGAAAGCAUUUACCAAGGAUGUUUUCAUUAA